GACGAACGCUGGCGGCGUGCUUAACACAUGCAAGUCGAACGAGUGGCGAACGGGUGAGUAAUACGUGAGUAACCUGCCCUCUUUUUGGGAUAAGCCUUGGAAACGGGGUCUAAUACCGGAUAAAGGGGGAUGGGCUCGCGGCCUAUCAGCUUGUUGGUGGGGUGCUGGCCUACCAAGGCGGUGACGGGUAGCCGGCCUGAGAGGGUGACCGGCCACUCUGGGACUGAGACACGGCCCAGAGGACUACGGGAGGCAGCAGUGGGGGAUAUUGCACAAUGGGCGAAAGACUGAUGCAGCGACGCCGCAGGGGGGAUGAGGGCUUUAGGGUUGUAAACCUCUUUCGCUAUAGAACGGGUAGGUGGAGAAGAAGCGCCGGCUAACUACGUGCCAGCAGCCGCGGUAAUUC
rnacentral:rRNA from 1 species